UCCCUGAUAGCUCAGUCAGUAAAGAAUCUGCCUGCAAUGCAGAAGACCCAGGUUUGCUUCCUGGGUCGGGAA
rnacentral:tRNA from 1 species